rnacentral:piRNA from 1 species
UGGGAUGUGGCCUGGAUAAGUAGUAUCCUU